rnacentral:rRNA from 1 species
CCUACGGGUGGCAGCAGUGAGGAAUAUUGGUCAAUGGACGAGAGUCUGAACCAGCCAAGUAGCGUGAAGGAUGACUGCCCUAUGGGUUGUAAACUUCUUUUAUAAAGGAAUAAAACGCGGCACGUGUGCCUUUUUGCAUGUACUUUAUGAAUAAGGAUCGGCUAACUCCGUGCCAGCAGCCGCGGUAAUACGGAGGAUCCGAGCGUUAUCCGGAUUUAUUGGGUUUAAAGGGAGCGUAGAUGGGUUGUUAAGUCAGUUGUGAAAGUUUGCGGCUCAACCGUAAAAUUGCAAUUGAUACUGGCAGUCGUGAGUACAGUUGAGGUAAGCGGAAUUCGUGGUGUAGCGGUGAAAUGCUUAGAUAUCACGAAGAACCCCGAUUGCGAAGGCAGCUUACUAAACUGUGACUGACAUUGAUGCUCGAAAGUGUGGGUAUCAAACAGGAUUAGAUACCCUUGUAGUC